rnacentral:rRNA from 1 species
UGCCAGCCGCCGCGGUAAUACGGGGGAUGCAAGCGUUAUUCGGAAUCAUUGGGCGUAAAGGGCACGCAGGCGGUCUUAUCAGUCAGAUGUGAAAGCCCGGGGCUCAACCCCGGACGUGCAUUUGAAACAGUAAGACUUGAGUACGGGAGAGGAAAGCGGAAUUCCUGGUGUAGAGGUGAAAUUCGUAGAUAUCAGGAGGAACACCGGUGGCGAAGGCGGCUUUCUGGCCAAAUACUGACGCUGAGGUGCGAAAGCGUGGGGAGCAAACAGGAUUAGAUA